GCCGGGAUAGCUCAGCUGGGAGAGCAACAGACUGAAGCGAAUAAAGCCUUCUGGAGGUCCCGUGUUCAAUCCACGGUCCUGGCA